GUCAGCAGCCAUAUCACUCUGCAAUUCACAACCCACUCACACUAAGCAGGUGUGAGCUUGGUCAGUACCUGGAUGGAGACUUCCUGGGAAAAACUAAGGUUGCUGCUGGAA
rnacentral:rRNA from 1 species